AAUAGAUACCCCGGUAGUCCACGCCGUAAACGGUGGGCACUAGGUGUGGGCAGCAUUCCACGUUGUCCGUGCCGCAGCUAACGCAUUAAGUGCCCCGCCUGGGGAGUACGGCCGCAAGGCUAAAACUCAAAGGAAUUGACAGGGGCCCGCACAAGCGGCGGAGCAUGUGGCUUAAUUCGACGCAACGCGAAGAACCUUACCAAGGCUUGACAUACACCGGAAACAUCCAGAGAUGGGUGCCCCCUUGUGGUCGGUGUACAGGUGGUGCAUGGCUGUCGUCAGCUCGUGUCGUGAGAUGUUGGGUUAAGUCCCGCAACGAGCGCAACCCUUGUCCCGUGUUGCCAGCAGGCCCUUGUGGUGCUGGGGACUCACGGGAGACCGCCGGGGUCAACUCGGAGGAAGGUGGGGACGACGUCAAGUCAUCAUGCCCCUUAUGUCUUGGGCUGCACACGUGCUACAAUGGCCGGUACAAUGAGCUGCGAUACCGCGAGGUGGAGCGAAUCUCAAAAAGCCGGUCUCAGUUCGGAUUGGGGUCG
rnacentral:rRNA from 1 species